rnacentral:rRNA from 1 species
AAGUCGUAACAAGGUUUCCGUAGGUGAACCUGCGGAAGGAUCAUUAUUGAAUAAGCUUGGUUAGGUUGAUGCUGGCUCUUCGGGGCAUGUGCACACCUGACACCAACUUUUCUUACCACCUGUGCACUUUUUGUAGACUUUGGAAUACCUCUCGAGGAAACUCGGUUUUGAGGACUGCUGUGCGCAAGCCGGCUUUCCUUACAUUUUCCAGUCUAUGUUUUUCUAUACACCCCUAUAGUAUGUCACAGAAUGUCAUUUUAAUGGGCUUAAUUGCCUUUAAACCUAUACAACUUUCAACAACGGAUCUCUUGGCUCUCGCAUCGAUGAAGAACGCAGCGAAAUGCGAUAAGUAAUGUGAAUUGCAGAAUUCAGUGAAUCAUCGGAUCUUUGAACGCACCUUGCGCUCCUUGGUAUUCCGAGGAGCAUGCCUGUUUGAGUGUCAUGAAAUUCUCAACCUUAUCAGCCUUUAUUGGCUCAUUGGGCUUGGAUGNGGGAGUUUUGCGGGCUUCUAAGAAGUCGGCUCUCCUUAAAUUCAUUAGCGGGACCUUUUGGNUGNCUCAGCUACUGNUGNGAUAAUUAUCUACGCUUAUUGCUGAAAGUGACNUGGUCCAGCNUCUAAUCGUCNUCAUUUACUCGAGACAAUUUAUAAUGACAAUUUGACCUCAAAUCAGGUAGGACUACCCGCUGAACUUAAGCAUAUCAAUAAGCGGAGGAAAAGAAACUAACAAGGAUUCCCCUAGUAACUGCGAGNGAAGCGGGAAAAGCUCAAAUUUAAANUNUGAGGGUCCUUGCGNCCUUCCGAGUUGUAAUCUAGAGAAGUGUUAUCCGCGCUGGACCGUGUACAAGUCUCCUGGAACGGAGCGUCAUAGAGGGUGAGAAUCCCGUCUUUGACACGGACUACCAGGGCUUAUGUGAUGCGCUCUCAAAGAGUCGAGUUGUUUGGGAAUGCAGCUCUAAAUGGGUGGUAAAUUCCAUCUAAAGCUAAAUAUUGGCGAGAGACCGAUAGCGAACAAGUACCGUGAGGGAAAGAUGAAAAGAACUUUGGAAAGAGAGUUAAACAGUACGUGAAAUUGUUGAAAGGGAAACGCUUGAAGUCAGUCGCGUUGUCCAGAAAUCAACCUUGCUUUUGCUUGGUGUACUUUCUGGUUAACGGGUCAGCAUCAAUUUUGACCGGUGGAUAAAGGUCAGGGGAAUGUGGCAUCUUCGGAUGUGUUAUAGCCCUUGGUUGCAUACAUCGGUUGGGAUUGAGGAACUCAGCACGCCGCAAGGCCGGGUUUUUAACCACGUACGUGCUUAGGAUGCUGGCAUAAUGGCUUUAAUCGACC